rnacentral:rRNA from 1 species
GACGAACGCUGGCGGCAGGCUUAACACAUGCAAGUCGAACGCGUGUAGCAAUACACGAGUGGCGCACGGGUGAGUAACGCGUGGAUAUCUGCCUUUUGGUUCGGAAUAACUCCGGGAAACUGGAGCUAAUACCGGAUGGUUCCUACGGGAUAAAGAUUUAUCGCCAAAAGAUGAGUCCGCGUACGAUUAGCUAGUUGGUGAGGUAAUGGCUCACCAAGGCGACGAUCGUUAGCUGGUCUGAGAGGACGAUCAGCCACACUGGGACUAAGACACGGCCCAGACUCCUACGGGAGGCAGCAGUGGGGAAUAUUGGACAAUGGGGGCAACCCUGAUCCAGCCAUGCCGCGUGAGUGAUGAAGGCCUUCGGGUUGUAAAGCUCUUUUGGCGGGGACGAUGAUGACGGUACCCGCAGAAUAAGCCCCGGCUAACUUCGUGCCAGCCGCCGCGGUAA